rnacentral:rRNA from 1 species
CCUACGGGAGGCAGCAGUGGGGAAUAUUGCACAAUGGGGGAAACCCUGAUGCAGCGACGCCGCGUGAGUGAGGAAGUAUUUCGGUAUGUAAAGCUCUAUUAGCAGGGAAGAAAAUGCCGGUACCUGACUAGGAAUCCGCGGCUAACCACGUGCCAGCAGCCGCGGUAAUACGGAGGGGGCAACCGUUAUCCGGAGUUACGGGGGGUAAAGGGAGCCGAGUCGGGAUUGAAGGUCUGAUGUGAAAAGCCAGGGCCCAACCCCGGAACUGCAGUGGAAACUGUUUUUCUUGAGUGUGGGGGAGGCAAGUGGAAUGCCGGGUGUAGCGGUGAAAUGCGUAGAGAUCAGGAGGAACACCAGUGGCGAAGGCGGCUUGCUGGACGAUGACUGACGUUGAGGCUCGAAAGCGUGGGGAGCAAACAGGAUUAGAUACCCUAGUAGUC